rnacentral:tRNA from 1 species
GUCAAGAUGGCCGAGUGGUUAAGGCGCCAGACUUAAGUUCUGGUCUUCAAAGAAGGCGUGGGUUCGAACCCCACUCUUGACA